GCAUGGUGGCAUGCGCCUGUAGUCCCAGCUACUCAGGAGGCUGAGGCAGGAGAAUUGCUUGAACCCAGGAGGGAGAGGUUGCAGUGAGCUGAGAUCACACCACUACACUCCAGCCUGAGCAAUAGCGUGAGACUUGGUCUCAAAAAUAAAUACAUAAAGACAUUAUGACAUGGGAAAAUACCAUAAAAUAUUCAGCAAACCAUGUUGGAUAUACUGAUUGUAAUCAAUAUGAUCUGAAUUAAUUUUUCCCAACAUUUUAUAAAAAUGUUCAACAUAUAGUUGAAAGGAUUUUGCAGUGAAAUCUUCCUUGUGACUACCACUGGCUGUACCAUUACCAUUUUAUUAUAUUUGCUUUAUCAUCUGUCCCUCCCCCUCUUCAUCCAAUAAUGCAUGUGAUUUUUUAAUGCAUUUUAAAGUAAAUUUCAGGCAUCAGCACACUUUCCCCUUGACAUUCCAGCAUGCAUAUCAUUAACUAGUGUUCACUAUUUGGUUGGUUUUUUUCUUUUGAGGAAAAAAUUACACACAGUGAAAUGUACAUUCAUUAAAUGUACCUUCUCUGAGUUUUGACAAAUGCAUACUCUCAUGAAACCAGAAUCGCUAUUAAGAUACAGAACAUUACCAAUUAUUUUUACUACUAAGCACACAUACUUAUUUGUAUAUGCCUAUACCUGUGCAGUGGGAUUCCAAGGCUGAUUUUAUUUUCUUCACUGUAUUAUUCUUUACUUUGUAAAUGGUGUGAGUGAGUACAUCUAUUUGUUCUUUUAUUUAACAGGUAUUCAUUUAUCAUGGAGAGUGUGUGCCAGGCUCUGCCCUAAAUACAGGGGCUCCAGGGGUUGACAGGACUGCAGAAUUCCCUGCCUUUAUGGCACCUAUAAUCUAGUAGUGAGUGGCAAGGUGAGUGAACAAAAGAUAAUGCCGCAGUGAGAUAGUGAGUGAGGGGCUGUGCGUGAGGCUGAAUGAUUUGAGGAAAGAGCCAUUGAGGGUCAGGAGAGUCUCAGGGGGCCUGGGGACCGGCAGGAAGAAGGACCUUGAGGCAGGAGGGGGAAUGCGACAGGAUGGGAGGUCAGAGGGGGAGGAACAAGCCAAGCCAUACAGCGCCUUGUAGGUGAUAUGAGGAGUAAGGACUUUAUCCUGGUGUGGAGAGAAGCCGUUAGAGGGUUUUAAUCAGGGGAGUGACUCGAUCCGAUUUCUGUUUUGAAAAGCUCGGCUCUGUGGAGAAUCUGCUCUUCUGGGUAAAGGUAGAAGCGCGGAAGUCAGAAAGGGAGGCUUGUGCUGGGGUGGCAAUGUGGUUAGCAGCUGUGAGGGUAGAGCUGGCGCUGCUUCCUGAGGGAUUAAAGGUGGGAUGUGGGCGAGAGAGGGGUCUAGGAAGAUUUUCUUUGUCUAAGCAUCUGGGUGAAUGAUGGUGGUCUAACUGCGAUGGGCAGACUUGUGUAAGAAGCAGGCUCUGGGGAGGAGAGAAAUCAGGAGUUCCGUUUUAGACAUGUUGGGUGCAAUGUGAAAACUUCACCUUUCAAACCUUUGCGUGGCGAAGUCAGGCAGGCAGCGGCUGGGUGAGCGCUGGAGGAAGGGGAGCGCUCACCAAACUACUCCACCUUGUUGGUGCACAAAAGGUGCAGGGCCAUCUGCAACCACCUUGGGGGCAGAUGUGGUUUGGAAUUCAGAAUUAUUCAAACUUUGGAAAGGUAAUCGAUUAACCCUCACCGAGGUCUGGGGCGUCACCUGUCAUCAAACACAGAAGGUAUUUCUGUAGCAAAUUAUAGUCUUCACACUUAAACAGAUUAAUAAAGACUAGAAAUAGCCUCACAUCGGUUCAGGUCAGGUGUUGUUAUGAAGGCAGUUUUGUCACCAAAUUAGGUAAAACUUGGUUUCAGAGCUUUUGAGUUUCUGAAUUUCAGAAAAUUAGCAAUCCCCUCUCUAGUCUCAAUUUCUACUCCCCAAACGCAAAUACUUUGCAAAAAUUUUUCACUGCUCUUUUCUAUUUACUUCUGUAAUGUAAAGUAAGUGGGCUUUCCUGCCGUCUCUAGAUUCUUAAAAGCUUUAUACUAUCUACUAACUUGCUACCAUGGAAAGUGAGGGCUUAUUUUUUUGAUAGGCCCUCUGCACUGCGCACCCCUCCUCCAUCCAGCCUUCCAACAUAGUCAAAUGGCCAUUUUUCACUAAAUCAGCAUUGGAGGCUUAUAUUAUUAUGACCAUGUGAGUAUUAUUCACAGCUGAACCACCUGCCCUACUAUUAUUACAUGUCCUUCCUUAAACAACUCUGAUUUCUUCAGUCUUUUGCAGCAAAGAAGCAAAGGAUAUCAGGGUAUAAGGUAAUACAGAGUUCCCAACAAGCUUCCCAUGCAUACCCAGCCCUUCCCACAUCCCUGUUCUUGAGGGUAGCCUUUCUGGACUUUGGGAACUAAAAUCAGCCUGUGUCUCUGCCCGCCACUCCACCCCAUCCACUGGCUGUGUUCAACUAAGUCAUUUACCAUUUGUCCAACUGCUCUGCAGCAGCCUCCAGAAUGUUACUGGCAUCUUGGGUCUACUCUCAUCUCCUAUAUUGUCGGACGAUCACAUUGUUCUGGUAGUUUAUGCCUUUUUAAAAUUAAAUUUACUAUCAUUCUUUGUGGGGCUUCAGGAGAGAGUAGAGAUAGACAUAGUUUAUCAACCUGCCACGUUUAACGAAAAGCAUCCCAGACCACUGUUCAUACUUCCUGGGCCAUGACCUUUUCAUAGCAGGUGUCAGCAGAUGUUCCUUAUGUAAUGAUUUUGUCCACCUGUUGCCCAGCUCAGCCCACAGAGUUGGAAAUUGGAAAUUUGGAAGCGCUGUUACAACAAAUUGCUUUCUAGGCAUUUGAAAUCUCCCAGGGUUUUCCCAGAGCAAUUUAGGAGACCUCCUGAAUGAGCCUAAUGUGCUUUCAGCCUUUCUUACUACAAUGAAGAGACUACAUGGCAUUUGUAUUUAUUCAGCUAUUUUGAAGUAGAAUUCUUCAUGCAGCCGGGGUAGCAUAAAGGGCAGGCAUUGGUCAGGCAGGCUGGAGCUUGGUCACCAAUGAGUGUGUGUACUGCACAGCUUACUUUUGCUCUCUGGGCCUCAGUCACCCCAUCUAUGGUAUAGGUGGACUGGGGCACCUCAUUCUCCAUACUUGACACAGAGCCCUCUGUAUAAAACACAAAUAGAGGAACUGUUCUGGUUGAAGAAGAGGCAGAUGCCCCCAGAGUGAACCGAGAUACUUCCGAGCCAUCCCAGGGCUCCUGGGAAUAUACAUUGAGAAGCACUGGACUUGAAGAUGUCUCUAAAGUCUCAAUUGGACAGCUCUGGGAACCUUGCCUUUUAAAAGGUUUACUGCUCUGCAGAAAUAAAAUACUCUUUGCAGCUGGGGUCCCAGGACGUGCAGCCCCUGCCUGGCUCUGGUGCCACUGGACCUGACACGGCAUGGCAGGCACUGUCCUCAUCUCCCUUUCCUGGUGCAGAAGCGGAAGCGGGAAUGUUGGCUCUAGCUGCCUCUUAGCAAAGGCACGGAUUUGUUGAUUUAUGGGUUAAGAGCCCUGGGAUUGGAGUCCUCCCGACACAGUCUCUGUAAGAAUACGGGAAUUUGUUUUCCCACAUCAUUUGCUUUUGAUUUAGUGUUUUGAUGUGGGGCUGCCUUAUGACUCAGAUGUUAUCUUCCACUGCCAAAUCACACGUUAGGUGUGUAUAACAUUUCCUACACAGUGACAUCUUAUCCUCUUCCAGACAUCAGUGGCCAUACUCCACACCCGCCAUGGGGCAGGGCAGGGAGGGAGGGGGAAUUAAACAACUUUUCUACUCACAAAUCAAGACAUGUCACAGGGAUGGGGCAGUGGUUUUCAAAAUCGUUAUCUUUGUUGUUGACGUUGUUGUUUGAAGGAGAGAAUCAUUUUCCAAAGAAAAUCUUAAGCCAAGGCCCAAUCAGCAUAACAGGUAAACAUGGAACCCCUGCUCAAGUUGAAGAGUAGAAUGAAGUGGAAUAGAGACUCCAGCCCCUCUUCCAGCUCGCCAUAGAGGCUUCAGUUAUAGGGACAGACUCCCAGGUCAUUUCUAGAUCUACCUCCUAUACUUGACGUGACUUAGUAGGAUAAGUGACUGAACCUCCCAGGGCCUCCUUGUCCUCAUCUUUAAAAUGGGGCUGUUGGGGGAAGGGAUAACAUCUACGACCACUAGCUUUGAGUGAGGCACUUGGUGUGUCCCCAGUGACAAGUAAUCUUCUUACUGCCUACUUAGAAGCCUUGCUCCAAAAGGAAGCCUUCAGCCUCACAACAGCUUUCCUGCAGGGAAUGUUUUAGAAAACCUGAUUCGCACAGUUUGCAACAACUACUGUUUUCUUUUCAACCUCUUCUUUCCAGAGAAGGUCCUUGUAAGGUCAUAGUAACAUCCAGUUGUUAAGAGCUUGUGAUUUUGCUUGGAAUGUAAACACUACCCUGUCUUUGGCCAGUUGGGAAAGGAAGUUUUAUGUUUUCUUCUCUGUCUUUGGAAGUAGCCUUACUUUUGUGAACGCAUUUUGAUAAGACAUACUGAAAUCUGUGAUUUUGGUUAAGCUGAAGAUGGGGACACUGGCAGUAGUAUGGAUCUUCUCAAUGAGUGUAUAUUUGUGGGUGUUUUGUAGCUGUUAAUUACAUUAAAUAAAUUACCAUAAAAUUGCACCAAUAUUGUCCCUCCUUCCCCCAUGCUGGCCCAUAGGAGCUUUCUCUCUGUGUGGGAAAUGGCUGUUUUUUCACUUCACUAUUUGAGGACUGAGCAGCCUGUCAAAUGUAUUGAUUGCCUUCUCCAAGUUGGAGAUUGGGAGCUACAUAUUUACUUAUCUUCCCUAGUGAAAAAGCAAAUAAGACUGCUUAUCUAGUUUUUAAACUUGCUUUUCAUUUACUCUGUCAAAGGCAUUAUCCCACAAAGACAUAAUUUGAGAAGUAUCUUCAUAGAAAAUAGCUCUCAUUUCAUAAGCCAUGAAUACCCUUGCUGGUGGAACCCAUGUAUUGCUUCUUUAGAAACUGUCAGUGCUCACUGCUCUCAUAUCCCUCAGUGAAUUAUCUAGCUUCCAAACCUGUACUUUUUCUCCCACCAGCUCUUUCUUCCCCUUAAGCUCUGCCUGCAAUAAACUGUGGACUGUGUGCAUUUAGCUUCAGCCUCUUCUUCUAUAAAAUGAGAAGAAUAAUGGUUCCUCCCUCAAAAGCUUUUUGCAUGGAAAAAAA